rnacentral:rRNA from 1 species
UACGUAGGGUGCGAGCGUUGUCCGGAAUUAUUGGGCGUAAAGGGCUCGUAGGCGGUUUGUCGCGUCGGGAGUGAAAUCCACUGGCUUAACUGGUGGCUUGCUUUCGAUACGGGCAGACUGGAGGUAUGCAGGGGAGAACGGAAUUCCUGGUGUAGCGGUGAAAUGCGCAGAUAUCAGGAAGAACACCGAUGGCGAAGGCAGCUCUCUGGGACGGUACUGACGCUGAGACGCGAAAAGCGUGGGGGAGCGAACAGG